GUGCUCAGUUUGGUAGUGCAUAUACUAAUAUUGGCAUGGUAGCAUGACAUCUGCACAAGGCUGAUGUGCAAAUCCAUGAAGCAUUCCCUAUAUUU
ensembl:snRNA predicted gene, 22602